rnacentral:lncRNA from 1 species
GGAGCCAGGGACAUUGAUUUGUUCUCCUGCGGUCCUGGGUGACCAUAAGUACAGUGACCUGCCAGCUGCCAACGCUUGACUUAAGACCUGGCACCCCAGGCUCUCCUCAGGGAUCAGUCACAGAGGCACAGGAUGUCUGUACGGCUGGACUUGGUCACCUGGAUCCUCUUGGUCUCAGAGUCUACACUGGACAUCAAACCCAUAGAAGUGCCACCAGGCCCCCAGGCAAACAGAAGCAAGUCUUCACUGUGACCCAUAGUAUCACUGUAAACUGUCUGGUAAGACGACAUCUCAGGCACAAAAGGACACCAGGGCAGGAGGGACAUUUUAACAACUUGAAUGCCAUCACCCAGAACCGGUCAGGGGC